GCUGGUUGGUGGGGUAAUGGCCUACCAAGGCUACGAUGGUUAGCUGGUCUGAGAGGAUGAUCAGCCACACUGGAACUGAGACACGGUCCAGACUCCUACGGGAGGCAGCAGUGAGGAAUAUUGCGCAAUGGGGGCAACCCUGACGCAGCAACGCCGCGUGAGUGAGGAAGGUUUUCGGACCGUAAAGCUCUGUCGAGCGGGAAGAAAUGUAUCAUGGCUAAUAUCCAUGAUACUUGACGGUACCGCUAAAGGAAGCACCGGCUAACUCCGUGCCAGCAGCCGCGGUAAUACGGGGGGUGCGAGCGUUGUUCGGAAUUAUUGGGCGUAAAGAGCGUGUAGGCGGCUGGAUCAGUCAGAUGUGAAAUCCCUGGGCUUAACCCAGGACGUGCAUUUGAAACUGUCCAGCUUGAGUAGGGGAGAGGAAAGUGGAAUUCCUGGUGUAGAGGUGAAAUUCGUAGAUAUCAGGAGGAACACCGGUGGCGAAGGCGACUUUCUGGCCCUAUACUGACGCUGAGACGCGAGAGCGUGGGUAGCAAACAGGAUUAGAUACCCUGGUAGUCCACGCUGUAAACGAUGUUCACUAGGUGUUGGGGGUAUUGACCCUCUCAGUGCCGCAGCUAACGCAUUA
rnacentral:rRNA from 1 species